AUGUAUCCAAUAUCCAAAAAGGGGGGCGGGAAACCAGCUCGGGGUCCGUGCUGGGGGCACCGGGGUGUGCGGAGAAACCAACGCGCCGACCCAGAGGGGCAGGCCGACGCGGACGCCGCCAAGUCGGGAACCCGCUGGGGAACCGGGCUGAGAGGUCCCUCAAAACUUCCCCCCCAAAAUAAUCAGGCGGCAGCCCACGGAGACGCCUGGGCCAAGCGUUCCGACGAUGCCGCCCUGCAAAGCCGCAGCGCACGGCGCGCGGCUCCCAGCCGCACGGGCCUCGGCCCAGGACUCCGGGCGGGACCCGCGCCUGCCUCUCGCCCCGGCCACCCCUGCAGACGUGCGGCGGCCGCUCUCAGGGCACGGUCUUCACCCACUCCAGGCCCGGGCGCCCCGGGGCGAGCUGACCUGACGCGACAGCCACAAGGAAGCCUGCCUCUGAGGAGACCGCCGUGGACCCGCGGUGAGUCACGCCGGGGUGCAGGCCGCGGGCGGCGGCCGCACCGAGGGGAAGGGGCGCGCGGGCCGGGAGCCGCAGCCCGGGGCCCCCGGCGCGACCCUGGGGACCCCGGCCCAGGGCCGCCCCCUCCCCCAGCGCACCCCGACCCCUCCCGCGUCCCCGGGGCCUCCCCCCGCCCCAGCCACGCCGGGCCGCCCGCCUCCUUCCGCAACCCCGCGGUGUGCCGCGCGGGCGGGCCCCGGGCAGCCCUGGCGCAGCCCGCGGCGCGGCAGGGACCCCGACCCGACCCCUCCGGCCGCGCCCCUCCCCCUCGUGUAACGCACCUGCGGCCCCGCCCCCGGCCAAACGCGGAGGCGGCGGCGGGCUGGCGAGGCCAGGCGGCUCGGCCCCGGAGGCACAGUCACCUUCCCUUCCCCCGCCAUUCCGCCCACCCCCCUCGCUCAGCCAGGGAGCAGCCGCCGCGCUCCUCCGCCGCCCCGAAAUCUAAAGGGGUCCGUCUCCGGCACCACAACCAAAUGGCUGAGCCUCCCUGGCCGGCUGCGCAGCCCGCCCAUUGGGCCCUUCCCCCCCCGCCGCCGCCGCCAUUGGCUGUUGCUCGGAGACCCUCGGCGGCGAUUGGCCCAGGCCGCUGCCGUUCGUCCGCGGGGCCGCAGAUCCCGCCUCCACGGCGAUCAGGUUAG
rnacentral:lncRNA from 1 species